UACGGAGGGUGCGAGCGUUAAUCGGAAUUACUGGGCGUAAAGAGCUCGUAGGCGGUUUGUUGCGUCGGCUGUGAAAUCCCGAGGCUCAACCUCGGGUCUGCAGUCGAUACGAGCAAACUAGAGUGUUGCAGGGGAGACUGGAAUUCCUGGUGUAGCGGUGAAAUGCGCAGAUAUCAGGAGGAACACCGGUGGCGAAGGCGGGUCUCUGGGCAACAACUGACGCUGAGGAGCGAAAGCGUGGGGAGCGAACAGG
rnacentral:rRNA from 1 species